rnacentral:rRNA from 1 species
GUAGGCGGCUUAAUAAGUCAGUGGUGAAAUCCCUACGCUUAACGUAGGAACGGCCAUUGAUACUGUUAGGCUUGAAUUAUUAGGAAGUAACUAGAAUAUGUAGUGUAGCGGUGAAAUGCUUAGAGAUUACAUGGAAUACCAAUUGCGAAGGCAGGUUACUACUAAUUGAUUGACGCUGAUGGACGAAAGCGUGGGUAGCGAACAGGAUUAGAUACCCUGGUAGUCCACGCCGUAAACGAUGGAUACUAGCUGUUGGGAGCAAUCUCAGUGGCUAAGCGAAAGUGAUAAGUAUCCCACCUGGGGAGUACGUUCGCAAGAAUGAAACUCAAAGGAAUUGACGGGGGCCCGCACAAGCGGUGGAGCAUGUGGUUUAAUUCGAUGAUACGCGAGGAACCUUACCAAGGCUUAAAUGUAGUUUGACCGAUUUGGAAACAGAUCUUUCGCAAGACAAAUUACAAGGUGCUGCAUGGUUGUCGUCAGCUCGUGCCGUGAGGUGUCAGGUUAAGUCCUAUAACGAGCGCAACCCCUGUUGUUAGUUGCCAGCGAGUCAUGUCGGGAACUCUAACAAGACUGCCAGUGCAAACUGUGAGGAAGGUGGGGAUGACGUCAAAUCAUCACGGCCCUUACGCCUUGGGCUACACACGUGCUACAAUGGACGGUACAGAGAGCAGCCACUACGUGAGUAGGAGCGAAUCUACA